CUCUUUAAUGAGUAGCAGAGCCCGUUUAAUCAGUCACAGUUCUUCUGAACACACAGAGGAAGGAAGAUUUGAGUCUCAGCUUUAAAGAGAGGCAGGUCACUCAAACCUGAGAAAGAGGAGUAACUCCAGCCCGUUCCAGAGAGGGAGAGCCAGAGACGCUUCAUUUCCUCAUUCUUUCAUUCAGUC